rnacentral:rRNA from 1 species
GACGAACGCUGGCGGCGUGCCUAAUACAUGCAAGUAGAACGCUGAAGAGAGGAGCUUGCUCUUCUUGGAUGAGUUGCGAACGGGUGAGUAACGCGUAGGUAACCUGCCUUGUAGCGGGGGAUAACUAUUGGAAACGAUAGCUAAUACCGCAUAACAAUGGAUGCCACAUGUCAUUUAUUUGAAAGGGGCAAUUGCUCCACUACAAGAUGGACCUGCGUUGUAUUAGCUAGUAGGUGAGGUAAUGGCUCACCUAGGCGACGAUACAUAGCCGACCUGAGAGGGUGAGCGGCCACAAUGGGACUGAGAAACGGCUCAGACUCCUACGGGAGGGAGCAGGAGGGAAUCUUCGGCAAAGGGGGGAAAGCUGAACGAGCAACGCCGCGUGAGUGAAGAAGGUUUUCGGAUCGUAAAGGUCUGUUGUAAGUGAAGAAAGGGUGUGAGAGUGGAAAGUUCACACUGUGACGGUAGCUUACCAGAAAGGGACGGCUAACUACGUG